UUAGUGUUCUUCACUAAAUGGUGCCUCGCGUGUUCAUGCAGGCCUAGCAAUGGUGGGUUCACUGAGGGGAAAAAUAUAUUUAUAUUUAUAGCAGAAACUUAUUCAUUGUGUCUCAUACAAUUAAUAUAAUUAUUAUAAAGUGACAUAAACAUAAUUUAGUUAAAUAAAUAGUAACUUUAAGUAACCGAGGGAUCAGCAUGGGUUAAACUGAGUUAUAAACGCCAACACGACACCAUUAACUUAAAGAUGUGAAUUCACCGUUACGUUAUUCUGCGAAAUAAACACCAGUAAAGGCGUGAAUUCUCACUUAAUCUGCAAAAAAUACAAUAUAAUAUACGUAAAAUGUACUGCGUCCUCAAGUAUAAACCUGGAUAAUUCGGAGAACCUGGCAAUUCGUUUAGCGAAUAACGUUAACGUACUUAUCUGAGGCGGUAAUGUAAUGGCCAUGUUUUAGUUUUUUUUUCUUUUUUUUUUGUCGAAAUUACUGAGAGCUGCACUCUAUUUAACCUAAAGAGGACUUAAUAAAUACAGUUCAGUACUCACCGUAACUUUAUAGAUGAAAAUCCGCCUGGAAAUUGUUUCCUUUCGUCGCUAAGCAUCUCUUGCUCUCCCGCACACAGGAAUUUUAAUCCACUACGAUUCGCGCAUGCGCACGCGCACACUCGUUUUUUACUGCAAGGCUUGUUGGGCCAAAACAGAUUUUUCACUUCUGCUAGAUAAAUUGGCUGAAAACAAUUUAAUAUGUUCGGUGAAUAUAUAUUUUUAACUUUAACUUCAGACCUUCAGCUAAAAUUAGCACAAUGCAUUUUUUUGUUUUGGGGUAUUUUUUGGGAAGCAAUAUGUUGAGCCAAUGUUUAUUUGUCAGUUUCCCCAAUUUUUCAAAAUGUAAAUUUUUUACAGUGUACAUGAAAAUUAUGCAGCAAAUCAUAGAACACAAAAUCUUAGUUUGAUAGAGAGUGUUUAUUGAAGUCAAGAAAAAAAAAGGCUACUGGUAAAUUUCCAUCCAAUUCUUGGUCAGUAUAACCUAUAUAAGUUUCAUUAAUAACUCAGCUGGGAUUUCAGCUAGUCUUUACGUUGCAUUGUUUUUAUGCAAAUUAAAACUGGAUAGAUUUAAAAUAUCAAUAUUGGAUCAUGAUAUGGUCAAUUCAAGUACCAAGAAUAGCCCCACAGGAAAAAAAAAGAAGAAAAAAAAGUAUGAAUAGGACUUCAAAAAUACUAAUAUUCAGAAAUAUUCAAAUAUUCAAAAAUACUAGUAUUCAGAAAUAUUCAAAAAUACUAGUAAAUUGGUUCUGACUAUCUUGGGUGAACAGCACAUUUACCAAAAAAGCUGUUUAUUGGCAUUACUGAUGUGUUAAAAGGGCUUAUCACUCUCCAAUCAUUAUUUUGAAAGAACACUCACUGUGUUCCGUAGCAACAGGAGCUUUUAACAGCAGCUGCGAUGAUGCGAUGGAUUUACCAAUCAACGAUUGGCUGUUCAAUUUAGAAGGCGGGACUUAUUCCACCAUAUUGGCGUUGCAUUUUCUUCCAUACAAGUUAAUUGAGAGAAAAUGGCGGUUUGUCCUUCUUUGUCGAGUUUGUCUACGGAUGGAUUAAUUAAAAAACUAAUUGAAGCUGGAAUACAAGUUACUGAAGAGGAGACAAGGAAAUUCAGGGAUGAGAAGUGCUACACAGCACUAGUUCUCACACAUCUUCUGCCACCAUUACCUGGGAGUCGCUGCACUGUUAAAUGUGCAAUUUCAUUCCUUCUUGAUUUUGUACUGGCUGGAACCAGCAUUGCAUCCCUCUGCAGCAACUCCGAGACAUCAAAGACCCAACCACAACUCAUCUGCAUUGGCAGUCUAGAGUACUACAUGACAAUACAUAAUCAUCGCGAGAAAUAACAGCGUGACCAUAUCUGCAAGUGAGAGCCUGACAUGCGCUGUGGACAAGCUCUUCAAGCUGUACUGGGUAUGCAAUGUGGCUGUCACAAAUCCAGUCUGUGCACUUCCGUUCAUUCACCACCAGAGGUCACUCGCUCACCACAUGGACUUUCACACCACACAUCACAAUGGACUCCAUUUCCCAUCAUUCAAUGCACUGAUUGCACACACCGCUGUAGGCACUGAUCACACAGCAUCACUAAUCACACACACUAUUUAAACCCUGGAUGUUCUCUCCCUCGUGGCCGAGUAUUGUAUGCGAUUACCGCUCCCCUAGCCGUAGCUACUCUUGCAUUACCUGUUCACCUGUGUUUAUUUCUACCCGUGUUUCCUGGAUUAACCCUUUCUGUGCCAUUCCGUGUUUCUUUUCAGUUACUGUAUUGUUCUGCGUUUUAGCGUUUAGUGUCCUAGUGUUAGCUGCGAUACAGAACUUUUGUUGUUUUCUAGUCUGUGUUCUUAGUGUUUACUCCUGUCUCCCUGUUCGGACUCUGAUUAUUUCCCUUGCCUGGAUUAUAGCUCAUGUACCUGGAUUAUCUCUCUGCCUAGCCCCUUCGGAUACUGUUCGCUGUCGACCGACCUUUGCUUGCCCUAGGAUUACUCUUUGUCUUGUCCCUGCCAUACCUGUUUGCCAUUGCUCGACCCUGCCUGUAUUUAUGACCAUGCCUGUAAAUAAAAGCUUGCACUUGGAUCCGCACGUCUCACGUCUCGUCAGCCCUGUUACAGUGGCCUAUCCACCACAGCUCAGCUCUGUGUUUACUUUCUUUGAAUACAUCUAUGAUGUGACCAUUUCGACAAACAGGAAAGCCAAGGUACUAGAACUUAUUUCAAAACUUCAAGCCGCACAGUAUUUCCCGAGAAUGUAAACAUGUCCAAAGUGCAUACAACCAGUGUCAACAAAAUAAAUAAACUAAUUUGGCAUCUACGUGAAGUACAUUAUCAGAUGGACAGGACCUGACAAUUAUGUGCAGCCAACUUCAACUCAU